rnacentral:lncRNA from 1 species
CACUAAACCAUACCUGUCAACUCACCCGUUUUUUGCGGGUGACACCCGUUAUUUUCACCUCUCACCCGGAAGUUUUUCUUUACCCGGCGGGUCCCGGGAAUUUCUAACAUUACCCGUUUCACCCGGAUUUCUGACCGGAAUUGUUUCCGGUAUUUAGAAGUAAUACGACCUUCGGUUUUAUCGGUCUUUUUCAAUGUAACCAAAAGUCAAAAUGUAGGACUGUUUACCUGAGCUACGUACCGUGUAAAUUAAUGUUCUCUGACAGUGAAAUAGCUUCAGGUUAUUCCUGUGGAAAAACUAAAACCACCCAAAUAGUAAAGAGGGCCCUUUCAGUUGAAAAUAACAAAGUGGUAGUUGAAAACAAGCCAAGAUUUUUUGUUUUGUCAGAACUUGCUAAAACAUUACUGGUUUUGCCAAACAGCAAUGCAGACAGUGAGAGGGCAUUUUCUUUAGUAAAGAAAAUAGCUACAGAGUUUAGGGCUGAUCUUAAUAAGGAUACACUGUGUGCUCUUCUUUCUUGUAAAAUGAAUACACAUUUGCAUUGCUAUGAACUGAAACCAAGUGCAGUUCUUUUAAAGAAUGCCAAGUCUGCUACUAUGGAAUAUAACAAUAGUCUGAAAUAAACUUGUAUACAUGUUCUAACUGUUUCAUAUACAUAUUGACUAUAUAAAUUAUAUAUAAACAUAUUUUUGUUCUCCAAUUGAGCCCGCAAAAUGUUGUACGCGUUAUGACCUGAGAUUUUUUUUCUCAAUGCAGGUCAUGACCUGACUUUUCAUUUUCAG